AUGUGUAGGAGAUAUCACAAGGUUUGCAUAGAGGUUCUAAGUUAAGCCCACAAAAAGUUUCCGAGCAAGCAUAGAAAGCUGAAACUAAAGGGAGCCCUCGGCAAUAGAACUCAAGUUCUGUAGUAUACUGUCUCAUAGCGCCGGUACAAAUACAACCAAUAUACCUUGCUUUAGUCCAUAGCUUUCUGAUUAUUCCUUCCCAUGAUUUACAAUUGCAUAUGUUCUCUAUCAAGUCAGCUUGCUCUGGAUUAGGCUUCAUGAUCAAUGAUGCUGCAUUUCUGCAUCCUGAGUCGGUGAUCCAAUCACUUAAUCGACCUGUUUUUAUGUCAUAGCAUAGCUCUUGCCAGUGAUUUUCUAGAAACUUGAUACCUCUUAGCACCGUAGAUGCAAAGAGUGAACCAACCUUGACAACCUCGUCUCGUUGGAUUAAACCAAAAAGUAAUUGACAGUAUAGGCCCUGGUUGGGGUCUGGGCAAAAGAUGGUCUCAAUGGGGCUUGUGUAAAGCUUAGGCAAAUUGGUUCUAAACUUACUCUCGUUGUAUAUGCUCGUUGAAACAGAUGCUGCCUUGAGGCCACUAGGAGUUUCAAUCUCUGGUCUGGCAAACAUAAGCUCCAUUCUUUUACCGGCUUGGUUGAUGUCACCGAAGUGCCUUUAAAUUUAGACGGAUAAAGGCUUGUUUAAAAUGAUAUGACUUUAAUUAAUGAAAAUUAGAAAUUUUAUUACAUUUGUAUAUGUAAGGAAAUCACAUAUUUAGAAUAUAAAGACUUGUUUAAAAAUAAUAGACAAUAAAUAAUUUAGAACUAAUUAUUAGUAACACGUAAAAUAUCUGUGAUAUUAAAAUAAAAUAAAAAAUAGAUUAAGUUGUGAGUAAAAUGAAAUUUAAACAUAAAAACACAUCAGAUUAAAAAUACUAAAUUAAUAUAAUUGUUAUCAUUGUUGUGUUAUCAGUCCUGAGUUGGUGUUUUGUUAAUUUGUGACAAUAACUCAAUCAAGAACAUUGUUAAUAAGAAAUUCUAUCAAACAUGUAUGCAUGUGGAAACCGCGUAUUUAGAAUACAAUAUAUACAAUUGAUGGAGGUAAUAAAUUGUGCAUAAUAAAAUUAAAACGUAUAAAGAAAUUAAAAAAAAAGUUUGGUUGAGUGGUAAAUUUAAAGUUGUACCAAUACAAUUGGUUUGGAUUCAAAUCUCACAAUAUGAAUAGAUUUUAUUAAAAAACUAAAAUAUCCUUAAAUAAUAUAAUUUAUUUUAAGUACGGAAUUUUAUUUUUAUAAUUUUCCUAACUAAACAUGUGGUGCUCAGUUAACAUGUGACACCAACUUAAUUAAGGAGUUUAUUAAUAGUAUAAAUACAAAAAAAUUAAAAAAUAUAUAUUCUUGUUUGAAAGCUAAAAUUAUAUAUAUUUUUAAGGAAGCUAAAAUAUUAUUAUAUCAUAGAAAAUAAUGCUAUAUUGUAUAAUAUUUAAAUAUAUAAUAAACUUAUAUUAGUACUAUGCAUAAGUAUACAUAUUUAAAUAACUAAUGAUAUUGUAAUAUAUAUAAUAUAUUGGGUUAAUAUUUGGUAUAUUAGCAGUGAGCUUAUUUUAUUUUACAAAUAAUUAAAAAAAUUCAUUUGUCCUUUUUUUUAAAAUAGUUAUUUUCUUUAAUAUUUUAUUAUAUCCUAUAUAAUAUGUAUCAACCUGUUAACCUUACUUGUAGAGUCUAAAAACUCUACUUGCAACGUGCCAAAUAUUUUCCCUAAUACAUUUAAUAUAUUAUAAUAUGUUUAAUAUCAGUUGCGAAUUAAAUAUAUCAUUAAUAUAAUGUUUUAUUUAAUAUUAAAAUGGAUUAUUAUCCUAUCAGAGUUUGAAUCUUCUAAUCAACAAUAUAAUUUCAUAGUUCACUUUAAGCAAAAGUGUUCAUGAUUUUAGCUUAAAUAUGAUAUUACCGUAUUUUAUAUUUAUCUAAGUUUAGCCCGAUUUGAAAUAUGGAUUUAAAAUUGUCCAAGCUCCCCUAUAGUUAUAAAUGUUUAACUUAAGUUUACUUUUAUUUUUUGGAAUUUUUUAAUUUAUAUAUUUUUUAUUUAUUAAAAUUUUAUACAUAAUUAUCUUAAUAUUUACAUUAUAAUAUUACAUAUGAGUUAGUAUUGGGCUGUCUUUUUUGAUAAGAACUUUUUUAAAGAAAAAACUAUACAAAUAGUUACUCAAUUAUAAAAAAAAUUCAUUUUAGACACUAAAAAUUAUUUACAAUUUAAACACCCAUGUUACCUAGUUCGGCCAUUUUGGUCUCUCCCGUUAAAAUCACCAACAGAAGGCUGAUGUGGCAAUUAAAAGAAUUGGUAUAAAAAUAAAUUUAGCCCUUAACAUAUUAUAUCAAUUUAGUAAUUAAUAUAAUUAUAUUUAUUUAAUAUUAAUAUUAUUAAUAUAAAUUUUAAAUUUAUUAUUGUUAUAAAUAUUUUUUUUAUUAAGUGGAUGUCCAUCAAUAUCAAGAUAAAUUUUAUGUACUUCAAGACUCUUAAGACUAAUUAGAAGUAGAAUUUAUUUCAUUUAUAUGUCUUAUGUCUAUAAAUAUGAAUUUUGGAACAACAUUGUACACAUCUCCAUUGAUCAAUAAAAAUAUGCAUUUCUCUUUGUUCUCCUAUUUCUUUUUCUUUUUUUUUUACUUUUAUUAUUAUUAUUAUUUAUUUAAUAACAAUUAUUAUAAUUUUUUGAAAAUAUAUUUUUUAUUUUUUUAGAAUUAAGAUCAAAUUGAGAUUGUAAAUUUUGAAGGUUAAUGUUUUAAAAUUAUGACUAAAUUGAUAUAAUAUAUAAAAAUUUAGGGCUAAAUUUAUUAUUAUACUAAUUUUUUUAACUAUCAUGCCAACAUUUGUGAUUUUAACGGGAGCGAACAAUAUGACCUAACUAAAUGAUGUGAUUGCUUAACUAACAAUUUUUUUUUUGAACUUUUAAUUGUUAGAUGAGUAACUACGUAGUUUACCUCUAUCUUUUUAUUUAAUCGGAGAAGUAAACCGCAAUUUAUUGUUAAUGGCAAGUCUAGGCAGGGGAUUUUUAUCCGUAAUUGGUCAAUGAGUAAAAGGUUUGAUUUCACAUGCAGUUGAAUGAAAAGCUGAAAACAAGAAAUUGAUAUGGGUUCAUACCUCAUCAUCGGAGACUGGGCGAAGGUUCCAACUAAUGCCCCCUUCUUAUGAUAUUCAGCACUGACAGGAAUCAGCUUUGGCUGCCCGCCUGAAGUCCCAGAGCUGCAUUUGAUCAAACAGAUGAUAGAACUAUUAGAAGGCAGCAAACAAUACCCCAAAACACACAGAAGCAAAGCAACAAAUUCAUGCAUGCCUUAGAAAGAACCCUGUAACGGGUUCAGCUAAAAGGAUAUCUGAUGUCUCCCCAUUAGCAAUCCUAUCUAUGUAAGGCUUGAGAUGUUCAUACGUAACAAUGGGAACAUUUUUCUUAAAGAGCUGCUUCUCGGUUUGACCAUGGAGGAAUCCCCUUAAAUACUCUGUUCCUGCAUUUCUACUUAGUAUUUCCCCCAAUUCCUCGUCUUGAAUUUGCUCAGCAUUUGUGGUCAGUUCCUCAAUCAUCUUCAACCCACCUUCAUUCCCAUUCGUUGCCAUCAACCCUAUUACUGAGAUCCACACAGCUUCUUGUGUUUUCUUUUUUGGGGAUGUUUAGUUAUUGGCUAAAUAUAAAAAGGUUCAUUGGACUAGACCCACACAUGUCGACACGCAUAAUAAACAAUGUGGCAUCAAUGAAAUGAUUAAAACAUGAAAAGUUGAAUUUAAUGUAAUUGAGUACCAAUUUAUGCCUCUUCCAAUCUUCAAAAGCCAAUGUACCUACUAAUAUAUUAAAUAUUGAAAUAAUAUUUUUUUUAAUAUAUAUAUUGACUAAGGUGCCCUUUGUGGACUUUUGAUCAAAAACAAUCAAACAAUUCUUAUUUAAAUAAUGAUGGUGAAACAUGCUUUAUCAAUAUUAAAAUAAAUAUAAUUAUAUUUAUAAGAAAAUAUUUGUAUUUAUUCAUAUGUAGGGUGGUCUAUUCACAAAGACGGAUGGGCAAUGAGUGAGUAAUUCGUUUACAACAGUAAACGAUUUAUUCUCAAGAGGCCAGAACCUUUAUGAAAUUAUGUGGGUCAUUUGAUAACUACUCAAAUAACAGAAAAUAGAGAACUACUUUCUCAAAUGAUUUGCAAUACUAACUCGAGUCCACAGCUAAAAGAGUAUAAUAAAUUUAAUUUUUAAAAAAAGGGGAAUAUUUUAAAACUAACUCAAAAUACUUCCUUUUCUUUUUAAUUAUAUUUAAAGUGACUGCCAUUUUUAGAAUUAAGUUUUAAUAAUAAAUUAUAUUAAUUAAUAAAUACAAUCAAAUAAAUAUUAUUUUAAUUUACAUUUGUUUUUUAAACAAGUAAAUAUAAUAUAUUUUUUUCUCAUUUUAGUUUGAAAUAAAAUAAGGGAUUAAUUUUUGGUAAAAAUAUAAUUUUUUGUACCUUUAUUUCAUUUUUAAUAAUUUACAAUAAUAAAAUAUAUAAUUUUAUAUUAUUAAUCCAUAUACUUAAUUCAUUCUCUAAUUUAUUAAUUAAGAUUUAAGUUACGUUUGUAAAUUAUGAAUAUAAUUCAAUAAAAAAUAAAAAAAAAAUAAUUUUUAGUAAUCAGCAUAAUAUAAAAAUUUAGUAUUAGCUUAACCGGAAUGUAAAAGAUUAAAAAAAUAAAUUUUUUUAUUUUCUUAGAUGGAUUAUAAGAGGAGGGUAAAAUUUUAACGGUAACGCGACUUGAACUUAAAUCAAACCUAGAGCGAUGAACAUUAUUGUCAUUAUGCCAACACAGAGGAUCAAUUUUUUAAUCACCCGUAGCAUAUAUUUCAAAUGUAAAAGGAAAAGAGAAGAAAAUGAAAAUAAAAAAUUAUCACCAAAAUAACACCAACCUUGCAAGAGGCAACCUAAUGUUAGCUUACAUACAAUAUUUUAAUAUACGUAAGUUUUGCUGGAAAACUUGCUUUGUAUCUCCUUUACCAAAUAUAUGAAUAUUUGACUGGUAAAAUAUUAUAUUAUACAAUCAAAUUAGGGAAUGUUUUUUGUUUUUCUGAAAGAAUCGUGGCUAACCCUAAAAAAUUGGGGUUGUAGGUUUUUUUAGAAUAGGAUUUUUAUUUAUGCAAGAUUUGGCUAACCCCUGAAAAGCGCCUCCAAAUUGCCAUCGAAUCUCCAUCCAAAAGCCUUGUUUAUUGCCCCAUUGCUUUCCUCCAAAAUAAUGCUGGUCCAUCGUCAAAAUAGCCGCUGAUCGCUCGCUAUAUUGGAUAUCGGUUAGCUAAGUUAAUUUAGGUGUUUAAUUUCUUGUGAUAUAUUUGGUUUUUAAUUUCAAAGUAGAGUUAGAUUUAUAUAUAUAUAUUUGGUAGUUUAAAAUGUAUUAGAUUACUAUUAAGUUGUAAAUUACUUAGCGUUUAGAUUUUUAAUUUCAUACAUCAAAUAUAGAUGAUUCGUAAGUUUCAGAUCAAGCAACAUCACUAAAGAGUCCUCGCAAUCCUUAGUUUGUGACGAUGUUUUCACUUAGUCUAGCUUUGGCAUGUACUUAGGUCCAUCAAAUUUGUGGGUUAUUUUUAUAUUGGUUAAAUAUUUAGUUUAAGGAAAGCGAUCUUUGUGUGUUUGAAUUGAACGAUUAAUUUAUUUGAACUUUUUAGUUUUAAAUUUGAUAAUUAAAUUUGUUAAAAUGAAUUAAUUUGUUAAUCGCAUUAAUUGAAUGAUUGACCAAGUCCGAAUUUGACUGGACUCUCAAGUCAAGUUUGAGGUGUAACAAUUAAUCCUCAAAAUUGAUCGUAUGUAAGAAGGCUUUAGCUUCCUUCACCUUCCCACUUUUACAUAAACCUUUAAUGACCAUGUUGUGCACGAUAGUGUUACACUUCAAACCUUGCGUCUCUACAUAAUCCCAGAGAUUGAUCACCUCUUCUGUAAGAGCAGUUCUAGCUAAGCCCCUAACAAAGACACCGUAAGAAACAAUAUCAAAGGCUUGUGACUAUUCUCCAUUAUCUCCUUGAACAAGUUCAAUGCAUCUUUAGCUAUACCUUGAAGACAAUAUCCAUUGAUUAAAGUGGUGUAGUAAAUAAUAUCAGGGGGAAAUUACCCUUCAUCUCACCAAUCAAUUCUACAACUUCUUCCACUUUACCUACCUUAUAGAUAGCAUCAGCCACUACGUUAAGAAAUAUCCCAAAUAUGUUCUUCCAUGCAUAUAAAGCCCUUUGAUAUAGGCAUAUCAACUUUCCCACAAUGUAUCAAACGAUUCAUAAGAAAAUUACAUGAGAAUACAUGUGUAAGUAUAACAAUUGCUUGCCUUUGAGUUCGAAACAAGAUAUUAAUAACUUUACCAAACAUUAAUGUAUGCCUACACAAUAAAGUGAAAAGGAUUAUUCUCCUGAGCUUUUAUUCAUAGGAAGGAUUAGGUAAUCUUAAACAAGAACUGAUGCAAACUAAUUAUAACGAUGGUUUGGGGCUGAAAUACUUUCCUAUCACUCUUGAAUCUAAUAUCUUCAAGGCUUCCUCAGAUUUAAUGCAACUAGGUUUUUUGUAUUGGCUCAAUGAAGUUCCCUUGGACACAUAGUAAUCCAUUAGUGCCUCAAAACAUCCUUGCUUUACCACCCUAAUCUCCAAAGCUGCAAUUAUGUUCCUUUUCCUAUAGAUUUUAUAUGUAUAAUGCAAUGACUCUUCCAUUGAUACGAGCCAAGGAGGUGACACUCAAGGGGUUGUUUUUCCUAGUGGUCCAAUUACUCGAAGCAAGGCACGACAAUUAAAAUUAAAGAUGAAUGCUUUUGUCCAAGACUUUGUUGCUACAAAUUUAAUUCAUCAUGUUCGUGACAUUGACAAAUACGAGAAUGCAAUUCACUGGACCAAUCUUGGAAUAGUGAAAGCCCAUAAAUUGGUGGAUUAAUCUUUUAUGUAUAUUAUUAUUAUUAUUAUUAUUAUUUACUUAAUUCUCAUUGGUUGGGACACAUCAUUUAUGAGUUAAGUAAUUUUAUUGGUUAAGUUAUUAUUUAUUUAUUUUCUUAGAUAAUUUUAAAGAGUUUUAUUAGGAUUCAAUUACUCUUUAAAGAGUUUUUAUUAUGAUUCAAUUACUCUUGUAAUUUGCCUAUAAAUAGGCUUGUUUUCUACACAUUGAAAGAAGAAUAAAAAGAAGAGUAUUUGUUUUCUUACAAAUUUGUGUGAGGCAAAUUUUUUUAGAGUAGAGUGAUUCUUCUCUUGCUAUUUAGUUUGGAGUUUGUUACUUUCAAGGGUAUUUCGGAGUUGCAAAUAUUCAAAUUUCUUUCCCGUUCAUCGGUGUUUCUAGAGGUUCUUUUUCUAGGGGUUUCGUAGGGAGCCGCUCAAUCAUUGGCGUUUUUGGUUACAAGUUAACCAAGGGUUCCAUAGUGCAAAUCUAUCCUUUUUUAUUUAUUUAUUUAUUUAUUAUUUAACUAAUUUUAUUCUCGUUUUAUUUCUAAUUUGUGUUUCUCUUGUGUCUAGAUCCGGGAUUCCGCAUCAAUUGAUAUCAAUUUCAGGCCAUUCGGUGUUAUUUUCGAAGCUAAAAUCAAAUCCGAAACGAGUCAAAAUACCAAAAACACUUUUCAUCGGUUUCGUCGAUUUUUUUUAAAAAAAGUUUGUGUUUAUUCUCCUCUUAUUCUUUAAAUAAAAGCAAAAAAACAGCAAAAAUAGCAAAAAAAACAAAAAAAGCAAAAAAGCGCAAAAAAAGAGUAAAAAGCACAAAAAAAAAACCAAAAAAAAAAAGCAAAAAAAAGCGCAAAAAAAGAAAGAGUAAAAAGCGCAAAAAAAAAGCACAAAAAAAAAGUUGCCUACCUUUCAUACGUAGGUUUCUUCUUUUCCUAUUAUUGUUAUUAUUUUUAUUUUAUUUUUUCCCAAAAUUGAAUUUUUUUCCCUUUCUUUCUUGACUCAAAUAUAAUUAAAGCUUCAAUUUUUGAAAAUCUUAACACACCAAACGUUUCCGAUUUUUUUGUUUUCCUUUAAAUUGGGUAGAGUUUUCUUAAGUUUUCUUCUUAUUAAAGGUUUUCUUUGACUCUAGAGUUAGGGAUCGUUGCAGGUCUACGUUUUUUUGUUUCUCUUACGUUUUCUAACACUUUGUUUCUUCUUGUGUUAGCAGAUAUUAAAGGCACGCACAAUUCCUUCAUCCGUGUAGCCUCCAUUACAAAUUGCUUCGUCAAGUUUAUUGGCCUCUUAAAGCAAUUAGGAUCUUCAUUGUUUCUUUGAAGUUUGCACCUCCAUUAUUUGAUCUUGAUUAGUAACCCUCUCCAAACAUAUUUACAAGUUUUGAAUCAUUCAGAGAGUUAUUCUUUUAAGAGCUAACGAGUGAGGUUAUUAUUAUUAUUUUCUUGUUCCUGUUUGUGUGAUUUUUUCACAGAUACCAUGCCGAUCACUAGAUCCCAAACUAGUAAAAAUGAAAAGGAUGAGCAAAAAAGAGAGAACGAUCCUUUGGUUGAGUUAUUACAAAAAGAGAUGAAAAAGUUGCAAACUCAACUCGAGCAUCGCAUGACCCAAAUGUUACAAGAGCAAAGGGAGUAUCUUGAUAUAAAACUUACAACUCAAAAUGAGAUGUCUCCUUUGGAAGAUGCUGAUGAUGUGCAUGAUCAUGAUGAGUAUGAAGAGUACAUGAAGUAUGGUGAGAAAGCACUUGUUGCUCGAAGGGCUUUAAAUGUCCAGUUUAAAGAGGAAGGGCGCGAACAAAGAGAUAACAUUUUCCACACGAGAUGUUUGAUUGGUGGACAACCUAGUUCAUUGAUCAUCGAUAGUGGAAGUUGCACCAAUGUAGUGAGUUCUUCCCUUGUUGAGAAACUUGGCCUACCUUGUGUGAAGCAUCCAAUGCCAUACUGCUUACAAUGGCUGAAUGAUAGUGGGGAGGUAAAAGUAUCUAAACAAUGCUUAGUUUCAUUUUCUAUUGGUAGAUACUCUGAUAAAGUUUUGUGUGAUGUUGUUCCAAUGCAAGCUGGGCACAUAUUACUUAGACGGCCAUGGCAGUUUGAUCGACGAGUAAAUCAUGAUGGUUUCCUUAACCAAUAUACUUUUGUGUUCCUUGGAAAGAAGUUUACUUUGGCUCCACUUCCUCCUCAAGAAGUCUACAAUGAUCAACUCAAACUUGCUAGUGAGAUGGGUAAGGGAAGUGAGGUAAAAUCAUUGAAAAAGGCUGAGAGUAAAGAGGCUCUUAGUGUUAAAAUCCAACUUAAAGGCCCAACAUUGGUGAGUGAUUGCACACACAAGUCACGAGAUGAGAAAGUGAGUUUAUUCGCUAGGUUUCGAGAUAUCAAAUUUACUCUUUGUACAAAACAAACAUUUGUAAUUAUUAGGUUUAGGGAAAACUUUAUUUUGACUAACCCUAAUACACAUUUGCCUAGUUGUUUUGUUAAUCUUUUGCAGGAUUUUGAGGAUGUAUUUCCUUCUGAAAUGCCUAAGGGAUUACCUCCUUUACGAGGGAUUGAACAUCAAAUUGACUUUGUGCCUGGUUCGAGUAUUCCGAAUAGACCAGUCUAUCGAAGCAAUCCUGAAAAAACUAAGGAGUUGCAAAGGCAAGUUGAAGAUCUCUUAGAGAAAGGGUUAAUUCGUGAGAGUCUAAGCCCUUGUGCGGUCCCUGUACUUCUCGUCCCAAAAAAAGAUGGUUCUUGGAGAAUGUGUGUUGAUUGUCGUGCUGUCAACAAGAUUACGGUAAAGUAUCGAUAUCCAAUUCCUCGAUUAGAUGAUAUGUUGGAUGAGCUUAAUGGUGCAUGCAUUUUCUCUAAAAUUGACUUAAAAAGUGGUUACCAUCAAAUAAUAAUGAAACAAUGUGAUGAAUGGAAAACUGCUUUUAAGACUAAGUAUGGCCUAUAUGAGUGGUUAGUUAUGCCAUUUGGCUUAACUAAUGCUCCUAGCACAUUCAUGAGAUUAAUGAACCACAUACUUAGACCUUUUUUAGGAAAAUUUGUCGUUGUGUAUUUUGAUGACAUACUGAUUUAUAGCAAAACUUUGAAUGAUCAUGUUGGGCAUGUUAAAUUAGUAUUGGAUGUGUUAAGGCAUGAACGACUCUUUGCUAAUCUUGAAAAAUGCACCUUUUGUAUGGAUAAGCUUGUUUUUUUGGGUUUUGUGAUAAGUUCUACAGGAAUCCAUGUGGAUGAGGAGAAGGUAAAGGCAAUUCAAGAAUGGCCUAUCCCUAAAACUGUUUCUGAGGUAAGGUCUUUCCUUGGGUUAGCCGGUUUCUACCGCAGGUUUGUUCGUAACUUUUCCACAAUUGCUUCACCUUUGACUACACUUAUUAAAAAGGAUGUAUCUUUUCAUUGGACAGAUAAGCAAGAAUUAGCAUUUAAUGAACUUAAAGAUAAAUUCUGUAAUGCUCCUAUUCUUGUUUUACCUAAUUUUGAAAAGACCUUUGAGAUUGAAUGUGAUGCUUCUGGUGUAGGUAUAGGUGCCGUCCUCAUGCAAGAUAGUAAACCACUAGCCUACUUUAGUGAGAAACUCGGUGGAGCACAUUUGAACUAUUCGACCUAUGAUAAAGAGUUGUAUGCCCUGGUAAGGGCAUUAGAAGUUUGGCAACAUUACCUUUUACCAAAGGAGUUUGUGAUUCACACUGACCAUGAAUCACUUAAGCACUUAAAGGGACAAGGUAAGUUGAACAAGCGACAUGCGAGGUGGGUUGAAUUUAUUGAAUUUUUUCCUUAUGUUAUAAGGUAUAAGAAAGGUAAAGAUAAUAUUGUGGCUGAUGCUCUAUUAAGGAGGUACACUUUACUUAGUACUUUGCAUACUAAGUUAUUAGGUUUUGAGUAUCUUAAAGAUUUAUAUGCCACUGAUUCUGAUUUUGCAAGCAUUUAUGACGCAUGUGAACAUGGUGCAUUUCAUAAAUUUUAUAAGCAUGAUGGCCAUCUUUUUCGAAAUAAUAGACUAUGCUUACCAAAGUGUUCAAUGUGAGAAUUGUUGGUUCGAGAGGCUCAUAGUGGUGGUCUUAUGGGUCAUUUUGGAGUCACUAAGACUCAUGAUGUUUUAUAUGAGCAUUUUUAUUGGCCUAACAUGUGAAAACUUGUUGAGAAAAUUUGCUCUACUUGCAUUACUUGUAAACAAGCUAAAUCCACUGUGAUGCCUCAUGGUCUAUAUAUUCCUCUUCCUGUUCCUAGUUCACCUUGGACUGACAUUUCAAUGGAUUUUAUAAUAGGUUUACCAAGGACAAAGCGUGGACGAGAUAGCAUCUUUGUGGUUGUGGAUCGAUUUUCUAAAAUGGCUCAUUUCAUUCCAUGCCAUAAGACUGAUGAUGCAACCCAUGUUGCCGAUCUAUUUUUCCGUGAAGUUGAGAGAUUACAUGGAAUCCCAAGGACUAUCGUUUCCGAUAGAGAUGCAAAAUUUCUUAGUCACUUUUGGAAGGUGUUAUGGGGUAAAUUAGGUACUAAAUUACUUUACUCUACUACAUGCCACCCUCAAACUGAUGGUCAAACCGAGGUGGUAAAUCGAGUUUUGGGAUCUUUGCUUAGAGCCAUAAUAGGUAAGAAUGUUAAAUCUUGGGAAGAAUGGAUACCCUAUGUUGAGUUUGCUUAUAAUCGUUCUGUUCAUUCUUCCACAAGUUUUACUCCUUUUGAGAUUGUAUAUGGCUUUAAUCCACUUACUGUUUUAGAUUUGCUUCCUUUACCUUUGAAUGAGAUUGCUAAUUUAGAUGGUGAAAGGAAAGCUGAUUUAGUGAAAGAGAUCCAUGAGAAGGCUCGUAAAGCCAUUGAGAAAAAGAAUGAGUCCAAUGCACAUCGAGUUAAUAAAGGGCGAAAGCAAGUCUUGUUUGAACCUGGAGAUUGGGUAUGGGUGCAUAUGAGGAAGGAACGAUUUCCUUCUAAGAGAAAUAAUAAACUUGAAGCACGAGGAGAUGGACCAUUCCAAGUACUCGAGAAAAUAAAUGACAAUGCUUAUCGCAUUGAUCUUCCUGGUGAGUAUAGUGUUAGUGCUACUUUCAAUGUUUCUGAUCUUUCUCCUUUUGAAUUUGAUGUAGGUUCAGAUUCGAGGACAAAUCUUCUUGAAGAGGGGGAGAAUGAUACGAGCCAAGGAGGUGACACUCAAGGGGUUGUUUUUCCUAGUGGUCCAAUUACUCGAAGCAAGGCACGACAAUUAAAAUUAAAGAUGAAUGCUUUUGUCCAAGACUUUGUUGCUACAAAUUUAAUUCAUCAUGUUCGUGACAUUGACAAAUACGAGAAUGCAAUUCACUGGACCAAUCUUGGAAUAGUGAAAGCCCAUAAAUUGGUGGAUUGAUCUUUUAUGUAUAUUAUUAUUAUUUACUUAAUUCUCAUUGGUUGGAACACAUCAUUUAUGAGUUAAGUAAUUUUAUUGGUUAGGUUAUUAUUUAUUUAUUUUCUUAGAUAAUUUUAAAGAGUUUUAUUAGAAUUCAAUUACUCUUUAAAGAGUUUUUAUUAGGAUUCAAUUACUCUUGUAAUUUGCCUAUAAAUAGGCUUGUUUUCUACACAUUGAAAGAAGAAUAAAAAGAAGAGUAUUUGUUUUCUUUCAAAUUUGUGUGAGGCAAAUUUUUUUAGAGUAGAGUGAUUCUUCUCUUGCUAUUUAGUUUGGAGUUUGUUACUUUCGAGGGUAUUUUGGAGUUGCAAAUAUUCAAAUUUCUUUCCCGUUCAUCGGUGUUUCUAGAGGUUCUUUUUCUAAGGGUUUCGUAGGGAGCCGCUCAAUCAUUGGCGUUUUUGGUUACAAGUUAACCAAGGGUUCCAUAGGGCAAAUCUAUCCUUUUUAUUUAUUUAUUUAUUUAUUAUUUAACUAAUUUUAUUCUCGUUUUAUUUCUAAUUUGUGUUUCUCUUGUGUCUAGAUCCGGGAUUUCGCAUCAUCCAUUCUAGAGGAACACUCUACCAUUAUCUUUGGGUCAAGUUCUUUGCAAUGCUUGCCUUCUUUUCCCUUGAUCUCCCAAAAUAAGACAUAGUGACCUGGUGCUGAAGAAGUAUCAACGUAGCUAGUGUACUCUGUCAAGAUGAAUCCCAGUGGAUCGAGAAGAGCCUUUGCUUCUGUCACAGCCUUGAAAAGGUCUGUUUCGCUUGUUUUUUCCUGAUCAACACUUAGAAUAACAUUUUUCCUCUCCACAAAUUGGAAUUGAGGUGCAUUAUUGUAGAAACCACUCACCAUAAGAACAUCUCCAACUUUAUAUCGAUAUAAUCCUGAAAGAAACAAAGAAAGGAAUAUCAUCAAACUAGAUUAGAUCAUUAUCUAACAGGUUAAUGUAGGAACUAGGAAGCAUAAUGCAGAUUAGAACAUGGCAUUUGAUUAAUUGAUUAUAUUCAAAAUAGGAACUUUUACCUGCACAAGUUGUGACAACUAGUUCAUAACACUGACCAGCCUUCACAUUUACAAGAUCAACAAGUUCAGUAUCUUCAUUGUUGCUCUUCAUUUCAAUAGAUCCAUCACCUUCAUUCUUUACUGGAAGGAAUUCGAAGUAAGCCAUGUUAGGGAGAAAUGUGUAGGAGACAUCACAAGGUUUGUGUAGAGGUUCUAAGUUAAUCCCACAAAUAGCUUCCGAGCAAGCAUAUAAAUCUGAAACUAAAGGGAGCCCUCUGGAAUAGAACUCGAGUUCUGUAGUAUACUGUCUCAUAAUGCCAGUACAAAUACAACCAAUAUACCUUGCUUUAGGCCAUAACUUUCUGAUUAUUCCUUCCCAUGAUUUACAAUUACAUAUAGUUUCUAUCAAGUCAGCCUGUUCUGGAUUAGGCUUCAUGACCAAUGAUGCUGCAUUUCUGCAUCCUGAGUCGGUGAUCCAAUCGGUUAAUUGACCUGUUUUUAUGUCAUAGCAUAGCUCUUGCCAGUGAUUUUCUACAAACUUGAUACCUCUUAACACUGUAGAUGCAAAGACUGAACCAACCUUGACAACCUCGUCUCGUUGGAUUAAACCAAAAAGUAAUUGACAGUAUAAGCCCUGGUUGGGGUCUGGGCAAAAGAUGGUCUCAAUGGGGCUUGUGUAAAGCUUAGACAAAAUGGUUCUAAAAUUACACUCGUUGUAUAUGCUCGUUGAAACAGAUGCUGCCUUGAGGCCACUAGGAGUUUCAAUCUCUGGUCUGCCAAACAUAAGCUCCAGUCUUUUACCGGCUUGGUUGAUGUCACCAAAGUGCCUUUAAAAUUUGACGGAUAAAGGCAAAUAGUUAGUUUUAGGACUAAGUUGCCGUUGUAAAUGCAAAAAGCAAGAAAAGCAACUAUGUAUAUUAUAUCUAUAUAUGUACAAGUAGUAUUUACUAAAUACGGGUGUUACAAUCUGCAUGGUAUAUUAUACAUAUGUAUUUGCUUAAUAUGGUAACUUAUAUACAUGUAUUCACAAGCAGCUGAAAGAAAAACUAGAAGAAAAUAGGGAUGGGUUCCUUACUUUAUCGCAGGAGACUCGUACAAGCCACGAAAUAAUUCCCACUUAUUAGCAACUUCAGCAGUGACAGGCAUCAGCUUUGGCUGCCCGCCUGAAGUCCUAGAGCUGCAUUUGAUCAAACAGAUGAUAGAACUAUUAGAAGGAAUCAAACAGUACCCCAAAACACACAGAAGCAAAGCAACAAAUUCAUGCAUGCCUUAGAAAGAACCCUGUAAUGGGUUCAGCUAAAAGGAUAUCUGAUGUCUCCCCAUUAGCAAUCCUAUCUAUGUAAGGCUUGAGAUCUUCAUAAGUAACUAUGGGAACAUUUUUCUUAAAGAGCUGCUUCUCGGUUUGACCAUGGAGGUAUCCCCUUAAAUACUCUGUUCCUGCAUUUCGACUUAGUAUUUCCCCCAAUACCUCGUCUUGAAUUUGCUCAGCAUUUGUGGUCAGUUCCUCAAUCAUCUUCAACCUACCUUCACACCCAUUCGUUGCCAUCAGCCCUAUUACUGAGAUCCAGACAGCUUUUUCUGUUUUCAUUUUUCUUUUUUGGGGAUGUUCUAGCUAUAGGCAAUGGAAACUCUACCUACGCUAAAUAUAAUAAGAUUCAUGGGACUUGACCCACACAUGUCGGCACGCAUUAUAAACAAUGUGGCAUCAAUGAAAUGAUUAAAACGUGAAUUAGUAAUAUAUUAAAACUAAGCAUGGAUAUAAAAUAAUUAUAAGAAAGUUGUAUUUAAUGGAGUUGAGUACCGAUUUAUGCCUCUUCCAAUCUUCAAAAGCCAAUGUAAAAACUAAUUUUACGCCGAAAAUGGUUUAGUUGAUAUGAUUUAUAUAAUUUUUUGUCAUCUAUUAUAUCUUACUUUGUUUAAGGCUUUGUUUGUAUACCUGUAAAAUAAGUUAAGGAAAAUAUUUUCAUCUUUUUUCACUGUUUGUUUGAUAGAAAAUGAAUUCUCACCGUAAAACCUUCUCAAAAACAUGAGAAAAGAAGGCUUUAUUUUAGGAAAAUAUCUUUAACAUUUUCCAAAGUUUUUUUCUGAAGCAGUAAACUAAUCCAAAGCCUCUUUCCAUUUCCCCAUUCCUUCCCACUCUGGUCUAGAGCUUACAGUCAGCCAGCAACGGUUCCCAACACCAGUCGCCGGCAUUCACCUUUGAUUUCCUUCUUUUCGCCUUUCGUUGUCGAAAUUUGCACUGCACUAAUCAACGAUGGUGUUCAUCUUCCUCUCUCGAAGGUAAGAAUGAAAAAAAGGAAGAAAUAUGUGGUUGUUUUUUAGUAGCAACAUGUUGUUUUGGCCCAAUUUGAUUGCUGGUUAAUCCCUCUUUUUUAUUUUUUUUAUGGUUUUUGUUAUUUUUACGUUUCAUCUUCCUUGAACGGUGCAAGCUGGAUUCUUGUUGGUGGUAAUGGAAUAAUUAAGAUAUGGUAAUGAUGGUGGUGGCUGAGGCACAACUAAUGAGCAAAAACUCAAAGUCUUUAAGUUCACACAUUAUUUGUUCAAAUGGGAUUAGUGGGCAUUGUUGUUCCAAUAGGGUCGGAAGCGUGUAAAUUAUUGUACUAAAAAAUCACACAAAGUUCAAUUCCCAGGGAAGAGAGGUGGAUCACAUAGAUCUCUUAAAUACCAAGUCUUUCCUUAGACAGAAUAUCCCUUCUAUAGUAAUUUAAUAGCACAAUUAAAUACUACUAUUAUACCCUCAAAUAUUGAAAGAAAAAUAGGACAAGAAAGAACACAAGAGAUUUAACGAGGUUCGGUAAAUUAUACCUACGUCCUCGGGCACUAACACCAGAUGAUAACUUUACUAUCUCCAAAGUAUUACAAACAAAUAGAAUUCCUUAAGAAUUCUCAAAUGGGAGAAGAGAGAAAACUAAGAGAGAAAGAUUGGUUGGGAUGAAUUGAAAUGAGAAAUGAGAAGGCCUAUUUAUAGUUGAGGUUUAAGGACCAAACAAUAAAUAGCCCAUUAUCUCAAGGACCAAAAAAAAAUUAUCCCAUGCCACUUUUUCAAAGUCAACUUUAGGGUGCUAAACUUGCACCACUUUGUAUUGUUUGCCAUUAAUGUUGUCUCCCAUUAAUGUUAACAAUCUCCACCUUGAAGAUUUGAUUAGGAUAAUCACAUCUUCACACACUUCCUUCAACUCCCCAAAUUCGAUAAAGCUAUCUUUUGUAGUGCCUACAAAUGCACUCUCGAGCGCCAUACACCUGAAGGUGCUCAAAUUCUCAGGAUGUUAAUCAAGUUCAAACAAUGAUUAAACUUGAUUGUUGUUACCACCUUGGUCAUCAUAUCUGCUGUCGGAAUCUUCUGAAGUAGAAUUUUUCCUUUUUCAAAGACUUCCCGCACAAAGUGAUAUCUUACGUCGAUAUGCUUGGUUCUUGAAUGAUAGACUUGAUUUUUCGCUAAAUGAAUAGCGCUCUGACUGUCACAAUAUAAACUUAUGUGACUUUGAACAACUCCUAAGUCUUUCAACAAUCCAUUAAGCCAAAUAGCCUCCUUAACAGCUUCUGUAACUGCCAUAUAUUCUGCCUCUGUAGUAGACACAGCUACUAUAGACUGUAAGGUAGACUUCAAACUCACUGGGGCUUUCGCAAGAGUAAACAGAUACCCCGUAGUUGAACGACGUUUAUCUAAAUCACCAUCAAAGUUGGAAUCAACAUAUCCAACUACAAACUGACCAAGUGCUUCAUCCUGUUCAAAAAUUAAACCAACAUCUACGGUUUUUCGAAGAUACCGUAGAAUCCAUUUCACAGCUUGCCAAUGUCCUUUUCCAAGAUCAUGCAUAUACCUGCUCACAACUCCAACAGCUUGUGAAAUGUCAGGCCUCGUACACACUAUCGCAUACAUCAAACUCCCAACUGCAUUAGCAUAUGGGACUUUCGCCAUAUAUUCUCUUUCAUCUUCAGUCUUCGGAGAUAAUUGAGCACUAAGUUUCAAAUGAGAAGCAAGUGGGGUACUUACAUGUUUUGUGUUUUCAUUUACACCAAAACAUUGUAAUACCUUUUUCAGAUAUUGUUUCUGAUUUAAACAGAGCUUGCCUCUCGGUCUAUCUCUACUUAUCUCCAUGCCGAGAAUCUUCUUGGCCUCACCUAGAUCUUUCAUCUCGAACUCUUGAUUCAACUGAGCCUUCAGCUUAUCUAUCUCAUUUUGGCUCUUCGAAGCGAUUAACAUAUCAUCAACAUACAAGAGUAGAUAAAUGAAAGAUCCGUCAUGCAGCUUCUGCAAAUAUACACAAUUGUCAUAUUUGCUUCUUGUGUACUUCUGCCUUCUUAUAAAGCUAUCAAAUCGCUUGUACCACUGCCUCGGGGAUUGCUUCAAUCCAUAUAGCGAUUUGUUCAACUUACAAACCCAAUUUCUACCACCAGCAUCUGUGUAUCCUUCGGGCUGAGUCAUAGAGAUCUCCUCUUCUAACUCACCAUGCAAGAAAGCUGUCUUAACAUCAAGUUGAGCUAGCUCCAAAUUCAACUGUGCUACCAAGGCUAACAAAAUUCUAAUGGAGGAAUGCUUCACAACAGGGGAAAAUACAUCAUUGUAGUCAAUUCCCUCCUUCUGAGCGUAGCCUUUAGCUACCAAUCUUGCCUUGUAGCGAAUAUCCUUCUUGCUAGGAGAUCCAUCUUUCUUUGCGAAUACCCACUUGCAUCCGAUUGCCCUUUUACCUUUCGGUAAUUGCGCCAACUCCCAAGUAUUGUUCUUCCGGAGAGACUGCAUUUCUUCAUCCAUGGCGCUUUUCCAUUUAUCACUUUCUAAGCUUUGCAUUGCUUCUUGAUAAGUGAUAGGAAUAUCAUCAACAACGGGAAGGGCGUAGGCCACCAUAUCAGUAAAUCGAGCAGGUUUACGAAUUUCUCUCUGUGGCCUUGCAACUGCAACUGGUUCUGGUGUACUUAGUGGUUCUUGGGUCAGAACCUUUUCAACCUCUAAUUCCUCCAUAGUGGCUGGAGAAUUAGACUUAUUAACUGGGCAAAUCCCCAUCUGCUCAAACUCCACCUGUUUUGGAGUACACUCCACCUGCUGUGGAGUAUUGCUCAUCUGAAUAUCUUUAUCUGCUACCUUUUUCAAUGUGGCAGAUUCAUCAAAGGUAACAUCUCUGCUACAGAUCAUUUUCUUUGUGCUUAAGCACCAAAGUCGAAAUCCCUUUACUCCAGAAGUGAUUCCCAUAAAGAGAGCUUUCUUUGCCCUUGGAUCUAACUUUGACUCAUUCACAUGGUAAUAUGCAGUGGUUCCAAACACAUGUAAGGAAUCAUAAUCUGUAGCCGGUUUUCCAAACCAUACCUCCAUAGGAGUUUUUCUUUCUAAUGCAGAUGAUGGCAAACGAUCAACAAGAUGGCCAGCGUAUGUCACAGCCUCAGCCCAAAAUUGCUUGCCCAACCCAGCAUUGGACAACAUACAUCGAACUUUCUCCAGCAAUGUUCGAUUCAUACGCUCUGCCAAUCCAUUCUGCUGUGGUGUAUCCCUAACUGUGAAGUGUCGAACAAUACCAUACUCUUGGCACACAUCGAAGAACGGAUCACUUUUAUAUUCCCCUCCAUUGUCCAACCUAAGCCGCUUGAUUUUCUUGCCAGUCUGGUUUUCGAUCAUAGUUUUCCAUUUAAGAAAAACUCUAAGCACUUCAUCCUUAGUUCUCAUGGUAUACACCCAAACUCUUCUGGAAAAGUCAUCAAUAAAAGUAACAAAGUAGUGUUUUUCUCCCAAUAAAGGUGUCUUGGAAGGCCCCUACACAUCUGAGUGAACAUAUUCCAAAAUACCUUUUGUAUUAUGGAUAGCAGUACCGAAUUUCACUCUCUUUUGCUUUCCCAGAACACAAUGCUUGCAAAAUUUUAAUUUGCAAGCCUUUGCACCUUUCAACAAUCCUUGCUUUGCCAGAAUUUGCAAGGAUUUUUCGCUGGCAUGUCCCAACUUCAUAUGCCACAACUGUAUUGAGUCCAAUUCUUUGUUGCCGGAAGCUGUAGCGACUGCUCCAAUAACUGUACUACCUUGGUAGUAAUACAAGUUAUUUUUCCUGUUGCCCUUCAAUAUCACAAGUGCGCCAGAUGUCACUUUCAAAAUCCCAUCUCUCAUAGUAACAACUGAACCAUUGGAUUCCAAGGCUCCCAAUGAGAUGAGAUUUUUCUUCAAACUGGGCACGUACCGAACAUCAGUCAGAACUCUGGUUGAUCCAUCUUGAUUCUUUAAUUGGAUUGAACCUAUCCCAACAGUUUUACAGGCAUUGUCAUUGCCCAUAUAAACAACUCCUCCAUUUAGUUCUACUAAAUCAGAGAACCACUCCCGGUUAGGGGACAUAUGAAAGGUACAACCCGAAUCCAAUAUCCACUCAUCUGAAUGGAACGACGAUAAUGAUGCAACCAGUGAUAGUUCAGAGUCACUAGUAUCAUGCUUUGCAACACAAGCAUCUACAGUAGCUUUUCCCUUAUUCUUCAGUUUUGGACAAUUUUUCUUCCAGUGGCCUUUCUCAUGACAAAAGGCACAUUCAUCUUUCCCGAGUCUAGACUUUGACUUUGAUCUCCCCUUUUGAGUUUUCUUCCGAGUGUAUGAACGACCUCGAACUACUAAAGCUUCUGUAUCUCUGAUUGAGUUUUUCUGUUUGUCAUUCUUUCUCUGUUCAUAACUGUAUAAGGCCGCACAGACUUCGCUCAGAGAUAUAUCACUCCUGCCAUGAAGUAGAGUAGUUUCUAGGAACUCAAACUCCACAUGAAGUGACCCCAACAGCAUCAAAGCCAAAUCUUCAUCUUUGAAUGUCUCAUCCAUAUUCAGCAAAUCAGUGACUAACUGAUUAAAUUUGGUGAUGUGAUCAUUCAUUGUGGUACUUGGGACGUAUGUAAAGCGAAACAGUCUUUUCUUCAAGUGGAGCUUAUUUUGACUGUUUUUCUUCAAAAAAUUUUCUUCAAGUGCCACCCACAACUUAUUUGCAGAAGUCUCAUUUGAAAAAGCAUACCUCUGCUCUCGAGAAAGGCAUGAUCGAAUUGUGCCACAUGCCAACCGAUUGAUCGCCUUCCAAUCUUUCUCCUGUACAUCAUCUGGUUUCUCUUCAUCAAUGGCAAUGUCUAGACCCUGCUGAAAAAGGGCAUCUAGAACCUCACUUUGCCACAUACCAAAAUGGCCCGUGCCAUCAAAGAUCUCCACGGCCAAUCUUGCAUUUGCAAUUGUCGGUCUUGUCCACAUGGACGAUGUUGAAGCUCCUACACCGACCGUUUUCUCCAUAAUCUUUCAAUAUACCUAAGGAAAUCUUUUCUGAUGUGGAAGAUCAGUUUAAACUGCAACCACAGAGCAUACUACGAUUAACCUUCGGCUCUUGAUACCACUUGUUGUUCCAAUAGGGUCGGAAGCGUGUAAAUUAUUGUACUAAAAAAUCACACAAAGUUCAAUUCCCAAGGAAGAGAGGUGGAUCACAUGGAUCUCUUAAAUACCAAGUCUUUCCUUAGACAGAAUAUCCCUUCUAUAGUAAUUUAAUAGCACAAUUAAAUACUACUAUUAUACCCUCAAAUAUUGAAAGAAAAAUAGGACAAGAAAGAACACAAGAGAUUUAACGAGGUUCGGUAAAUUAUACCUACGUCCUCGGGCACUAACACCAGAUGAUAACUUUACUAUCUCCAAAGUAUUACAAACAAAUAGAAUUCCUUAAGAAUUCUCAAAUGGGAGAAGAGAGAAAACUAAGAGAGAAAGAUUGGUUGGGAUGAAUUGAAAUGAGAAAUGAGAAGGCCUAUUUAUAGUUGAGGUUUAAGGACCAAACAAUAAAUAGCCCAUUAUCUCAAGGACCAAAAAAAAAUUAUCCCAUGCCACUUUUUCAAAGUCAACUUUAGGGUGCUAAACUUGCACCACUUUGUAUUGUUUGCCAUUAAUGUUGUCUCCCAUUAAUGUUAACAGGCAUGAUUUUGUUUUCUUCCCUUUCUUUUUUCUUCCAAUAGAAAUCAAUUUUGUUUUCCCCUCUUUCUUGGGGUAAAAAAGAACCUUUUUUUCUUAUAUAAAUAAUUGAUUAGCUCGAAUUUUGACCCAUUAUGGUGCAUCUUCUCUAUUUUCCCUUCUCUAAUAAUUGAUCUAAUGAAUCAAUUGCAUGUUUUUUCUUCUCUUUUUGUCUUUCAUUUCGUUGAAUUAUUGUUAAAUACAAACAAUUAUAAUGGAACAGAAUGUUAAAAAUGCUCUUUUUGAAUGUUUAUUUGGAUGCUUUUAGUUUGCUUGUAAACUUUAAGGUAAUUCAGAUUCGUAAUGCAACAAGAUUUUGGUUAGUAAUUUCCUGAUAAUCUGCUGCAGAAGUUAUGGGUGUUAUUGUUUUGGACAUAAUUUUGUUUUAAGUUAAAAUGAUCUGUGUUGACACCAUUUUUUUGACAAUACGAGAUCGACUUGGAUUUUGAAAAUGAAAAUGAAAAUGAGAGUCGCCACCAAUCCUUUUUGAUGAGGUGUAAUCGGAAGACCUCGAAAAGUGAUUGUUUUUAAUAAACGAUUUGAUUUUAUUAAAACAAUGAUUUUGGUCUACGAAAUUCAGAAAAAUAGGUUUGGGAGUCGGUUACGUACGAAAUUAGUGUCUUAAUGUCGAAGAUUGAAAAUUUUGAAAAGUUUUAAAAAUACAAUCCUUAAAAAAAACUCGAAUAACAUGGGUUAGAAUUUAGGAUUCUCUUGUUCUGAAAGAAUAUCACAUCCAGCACGUCAGGAUACGAUACUUUAAAUCCUCGAAACCAAGAUCACCUUAUGGUUUCCAAAACCAAUACUUUGAAAUUUUAAGAGGAUAUUUGGCUAUUUGGUCAAACGAGAAAUCGAAACUCAGCACGUUACGGCACGUUUUCUCAAAUUUUCAAACGCAAAAUAUUACAUUAUUUAGAAAAUUUUCCCUUUUUGAAUUUGGAUAAAAAUUAUGAAAUAUUUAAAAAUAAUAUAUAUACAAUUUGAAUAUAUUAUUUAAAAAAUUUACUUGAAAUGAAAAGGGGUCAUACAUAACUAAUAGUAAAUAACCAUAACAUGACAUGCAUAAUAGAAUAAUUAUAUAGCCUUGAUACUAACAAACCCUAAUGCAAACAUACAUGAAUAAAAGUAAUGAUACAAAUGGCAACAGCAAUAACAACGACAACCAUAAAAAUAACGAGCCCAAAGUUUGAAAGUAUAUAAAAAAUAGCAAAUAAAUAAAUAAAUAAUGGAAUAACAUGGCACUAAUGAUGGUAAAAAUAAUAUAAACAAGCCAAUCAGAUAAUAAUAAUAAUAAAAUAAAAAACUAAUAUAAGUUAGAUUAAAAGUUAAAGACAAGUAAAUAAAUAAAUAAAUAAAUAAAAUGUUAAAUGGAAUAUUUAAUAAAAUCUUUUUUAUUUAAAAAUAAUAAACAACAAUUGAAAUUAAAUAGGUUAAGGAUUAAACUGAAAUCUGAAUGAAAUUUCGAAGGUUUAAAUUGUAAACAAAUAGAAAAAGGGGUGGUUUGGGACUGAAAUGGGACACGCUCAAAGGAUGAGGGACCAACUAGGCAAUUUUCCAGCCUCGCUGUGCAGCGUUUCAACGCGGGCCAAAAUGAAACAAAUGUAUAAUUUAUGUGGCCAAAAUAAAAAUAAACAAUAGGGACCAGAUUGCACCACGGCGAGAAAGCGGAGGAAUCUAUUGCGCAAAUAUCCCCCUAAUUGAAAACAAGCGAAUCCUCUCUGGUGGGUCGGGUUGUGCGUGGGUCAGAGACCAAAACGACAUUGUUUUGGUCUCUGAACCCAAACUCCAAAACAGUGUCGUUUUCUAAUGCUAUAAAAUCCAAAAAAAAAAUUAAAUCCUUCAUUUUUUCUUUUCUUCUAAAAAAAACAAAACUUUCUCUCAACUCAAACCCUCCCUCAAAAUCCGACCUAGGUUUCCGGCCGUGGCCGCUGCCGUAGCGCCACGUGGCUGGUGGCUGGUGUUGCACAAAAAAAUGUUUCAGCCUCGUUUCACAGUGCACUCCUAGGCCCGGCCCUUUUCAACCCGAGAGGCCAAAAGAAAAAAAACUAUACCCCUUCUUUAAGCCCGAUUCAGACGACGGCGCAAGGAGUUCCGUCAAUGGAACCACUGGGCGAUUUAGGUACGUUCCUAUUUUCUUUUUAUUUUUGUAUAAAAUAUGUAAUGGCCCAAAUUCAAAAUUAUCGGAAUAGUGGUUUCGUAACCACAAAUCCGAUUUAAAGAGAAAUUUAUUUUAAUAUUUUUGCAUGAAUAUUGAUAUGAUAGGAAAAAUCGUAUGAAAAUAUCGAUAGAAAAAUUUUACUGAUUAAGUGGUUAGUUAGAAAAAGGAAUUAUUGAAGGAAUUAGGUAAAAAUAAGAUAUCGAGACUUCGAUCUCGUAAAACCGAGUCAAAAAUAUUUUUAUAAAUAUUUAUAAAGUGUUAGUAAUAUGGUAUUAAAAUUUCGUUAGAAAAUAUUAAUGUUUGGGUAGUCAAUUAAGUGAAAAGGACUAAAUUGAAAAAAAUGUAAAAGUUACUAGAGGGAUUAAAUAGCUCAAUUGUGAAAUGAGGAGGGACAUAAAUUGAAAAUAACCCCAAAAGGAGAUAUUUUGGGCGGCAUACGCUGAGAAAAAUCAGGAGAAUUGAAGAAAUAAGGGUAAAAUUGGAAUAUUACAAAAUUUGCUUUAAAAGUUAGGACUAAAGUGGAAUUAUCUAGAUUUCUCUUUAAUUUUCUGCACUCUCAUCAGCCAAAAACGUCCUAAGGGUUUCUUCAAGCUGGUUUUUCAUAAUUUUUGCACCAAGUGAGUUAAUUCUUUCCUUUUUCUCGUAAUUUUUGCGUUUCUAAGACUUUUACAACUAGGUCCUAUUACUUAAUUCAUUAGUUUUUGAUUUUAUGAAUGAUAUUGAAAGUUGAUAUGAAUAUGUGCUGGAAUUUUAUGAGGAAAUAGGAUGAAAUUGAUGCUUUAAUUUGUUUAUGAGAUGAUUUUAUUAGGUAAUUCCAAUAGAAAUUGAUUUGUAGGACCUAAUUGUGAAAAAGUUUGGAAUUAAAGUUUAGUGCUGAAAUUCUGAUUUCCAAAGGUUAUAAGGUAGUUUAAAGUGAUAUAAUAAAGUGUUGAUUUAGAAAAAUCAGCUCAAUUGAGAGGUUAAUUGAGCAGGGAUGAAAUUAUCAUUGUUGAAAGUUUAGGGGAAAAAUGGUAAUUAACACCAUGCACUAAAACAGUUUUAGACAGCAGCAGUAUUCUAACUUUGAAAAAUCACCAAAAAUUGUAGAGAUCGAAUUAGAGGAUGAAUAAAAUAUGAAAUUAAAGCUUAUUGAGUCUAGUUUCUUAUAAAAGAAAAGUUGUAAGCAAUGAAAUUGUAAAUCAUGAGAUAUAAUAGAUUUUGUGAGACAAGGUCAGAAUGAAUUCGGGUUCCCCUGUUCUGACUUUGGAAAAUCAUUAAAAAUUUUAAAAAAAUGAUUAUGAGUUAUAAUUUAUAUGCUUAGAAUCCUUAAUGAGUCUAUUUUCUGAGGAAAUAAAGGGAAACAUCAUCCUAAUUCUGUACAGUGAGAUAAUUAAUUUUUAGUGAAGAGGGGCAGAACUGUCAUACAGUGAAACAGGGGAAACUUUAAAGAAUAAACUGUACUUAUUGGCUAAACCAAAAAUUAUGAAAUUUUUAUGGUAAGAAUAUAUGUGAGUCUAGUUUCAGGAAAAAUUAACGGAUCUUAAUUUGGAGUUCUGUAGCUCAAGAUAUAAAUAAUUUAGUGACUGUGACUCAGUGAGGCAGCUUUGAAUGCACUAUAAAUAAUAAUGGAAUUGUAGAGAAAGUUACAUACGAACAUGAAAUGUAUUAGAUUAAUGAUUAAAUUUAUUUAUUUAAAUCCGGAAAAUUCAAAUACGAAGCAAGAUCGAGGAAAAGAAAAAGUUCGGGAUUAGUAGAUUUUUGUUUACGAACAAUUGUCGAGGUAAGUUCAUGUAACUUGAAUUAUAUUCAUAAAUGCUUGAAAUGUUUGUUAUUGAUGUGAAUAUGAUUUGGAUGUUUAAUGUAUGAUAAUUGAUGAAGUAUUGAUAUUAUUGAUGAAAAGAGGAAAUAAAUCUCGGUUGAAUGAAAGGAAAAAUUCGAUGGAUCUCUGAAAAAGGAAUUGACGGUAAAAAGGAUCUAGCCCGGACGGGUGAUCCUAUCCUGAUAUAGCCCUCCCGAAGAAUAUGUGGAAAAUGGAUUUAGCCCGGACGGGUAAUCCGAAUUAGGGUCUGAAUUUAGCCUGGACUGGUAAUUCAGAUCCAAGCUCAUUAGAGUAAUUGUCGUUGCAGGGGAUUUAGCCUGGACUGGUAAUCCCGACAAUACUCUAUGAGUUUAUAUUACAGGGGAUUUAGCCUGGACUGGUAAUCCCGCUGUAAGGAUGAGGUUCGCGGGAGUGUGCUCUCUGAAAUGGAAAUGUGCGCACAUGAAUAUGAAUUGACGGACCCAGAUUUGUACACUAAAGUGUACCUCUGAAAAUCCAUCGAAAUUUCAAGUAAUUCAAUGGGAUAAAUAUGGAAAAAUAACAAGAAAAUGGAAAUCAUGGAAUUGAUGAGCUCAUCAAUCAUUUAUCUUUGUAAUGAAUUUGCAUGAGGUUGAGUUUGUAUGUGAUAGGUAUAUGUUUAUGUGAAUUGGAUGUGUGCUUGUGUUAUUAAAUGAUGGAUGUAUAAGUAUGGUAAGUAUAAUUCCUGUUGCAUGAACUUACUAAGCACAAAGUGCUUACCCUGUUUCUUUUUCCCCUGUUUGUAGAGUUAAGAGCUCGGAGGUCGGAUUUGGUCGGAGACACAUCACACUAUCAAUCUCGAGAUCUCGGUACAUAAAGGAACUUUAUUUUAGAAAUCAAUGGCAUGUAUAAGCUAGUAAAUUAGAUGUUAAUGUGAAAUGAAUUUAUGGUUAGCCAUUGGUAUGGCUAACAAAUUUUGGUUUUGGUAUGUGAUGAAAUUAUCUUAUGAAUAUGAUAAAUCUAUCUUGAAAAAAAAAUUCGGUAAAAUCUGGUAAUGCCUCAUACUAUAUUUCGGCGACGAAUACAGGUAGGGGGUAUUACAAAAUAAAUAUAAAAAAAAUAAUAUAUCUGAAAAAAACCUUUCAAAAUGUUUUAACCUUUUCUCUUUUUUGUAUUUCUUUUUAAUGUCUUCGUACAAAAAGAAGCCCCCAUUUUUCUUUUUACAACAUUCGACUUUAUAGCCGAAAGAAAAUAAAAACUCAAUUUUUGCUAUUGUUUAGUCUUGUCUACUUUUGCUUCUCUUGUUGCGUGUUUGCAGGUGAUCGUGCAGCAGUGGCAGGAGGCGUCAGACGCACAUGGUAGCAAGUGGCGCGGCGCUGGAGGAAGGACUAGGGUUCUGAAACCCUAGUUCCUAUUGGGUUUGGGCCAUAUUUUAAUGUUCAGGCCCAUUUUGUUUUUUUGUUUUAUUAUUUGUUAUCCUAGUGGGCCGGGCAAAAAUGGGCCUGUAUAAUCUGGUUCAACUUUUUUGCUCUAUUUUAGUAUCAAUAUGAAUUUAUAUUUUUGAUUUUGCAAGUGAGUAAUGUAAUUUGAAUCGAAAGGGUAGGUCAACUUACGCGGUGUAGCCGAGCUCAAACCAUUCGAAACUCGAUCUGAAAUGCAAGGCUCCAAGCUCAACUUGAGUUUGAUUGAAUUUUGCUUUUAUAGCUGAAGAGAUUUGAGAUAAUAGUCGAAUUGGAUGAGCCUCAAUUAAAGUGAAAUAUAAACUCAGUUUUUAUACUCAAGUUUGGAUUCAAAUUGAAACAAUAGUAAUUAAAAAGAAAAAGCUCGAUUCAGCUCUUAGACUACUUGACUCAAAUACUCAAAUUCAGCUCUUUCACUAGCUCGAGCUUGAUUUGACGAUGGUCAAGAUGAAUUCAAGUUUUUUCAAGCUGAAGACAAAUAGCUUUUGUAAUACAAGUGUGUCUUUUGCUCUCUUAGAUCUACGAAGGUUGGAGGUUAGAUUUUAGUGCUCUUAAAACCCGAAACUUAAGUGGUUUUGCUUGUUGUGUUUGUCACUUCCUGCUUCAAUGUCUCUAUCUAUCUUUCUUUUCUUAAUUUUGAUGUUAUAGGCGGUAACAUUUUUUGUUUGCAAUAGUUUGUCAUAGGCUUACCAAGCAUUUUUCUUCAUUAACAUUAACUUCCUUAGUUUUGGACUCUAUAUUCAUUUUAUUUUUAAGGUAAUGUUAUAUUAAAUGGUAUUCCUUCAUGUAAUAACAGACAAAUACCAAAACCAUAUCUGAUAUUGUAAAUAGAUUCAUGAUCACAACAAGACAACUAAUACCUUUGUAUUUUCUAAAAGAGAACUUAAUUGUUGAUUUUAGUAUAAGUUUACGUUUGUUGGUUGGUUUGUAGAUGUAUUUUUGAUUCAAUUGAAUGAUAGUGUUUAAUUUUGUGUCCUAGGUAAUCACUCCCGUUUUUCAUAUGUAUUAUACAUCAUUUGUUUGUUGGUCUGUACAUGUAUUUGUGUUGCUGUUACGAGCAUUUCUUGUUUAUACAUUUUGAAUUGGCUCAAGUUUUCUUAUACUUCUUGCUUGUACUUAUUGAUUUGUAAUUUCAAUGAUUAUUUUCUGACCUUGUUUGAUUGAUUCUUUUUUAUGUCAGGCAGCUCGUUAUUGCAUCAGUUAGUGUUCCUUUGUUUGAGAUAUUCCUUACGAAGAAGUGACGUGGAUGGAGUUAGAAGGAUUUAAUGACGACUUCUUUUGUAGUGUAUUUGAUUGUCUUGUGGGUUAUAAAUCUAAGGCCAAAGCUUUUUUAGCAAAAAGUACGAAGCAUAGAAAAAUUUGACUUCAAAAAUUUUCACAAGGUUUAAGAUAUUGAUGCUUCAAUAUGGUGUAGUACUAAUUAUGUGGUGUAAUACUAGUUAUGGACUUGGAAAAUAUUGUAUUUACCAUGUGAUAUACUACUAAUUAUGCACUUGGAUAAUAUUACUAUUUUGUAGUAUUAAUUGUGGUUUGGAAGCUAAUUUAUUAUUAUUAUUUAAUCUUUGUUUUUUUUAUAACGCAAUUAGUAAUCAUCUAUUCGCUUUGGUUGUUUUCAAUUUUUUUUUAUUGUUAAUAUUCUAGCUUAAUAAUUCAGUACUAUGAUAUAUUUAAUUUAAUGUAUUUAUUUAUAAAUAAAUCAUUGCAAUAUAUAUAAAAAUAAUGUAAAUAUAAUAAACUCAAUUAAACAAUGAAAUAAUAAUAAAUUCUCAAAUGUUUGUUUUAUUUAAAAUAGUUUUCCUAAAAUAUUUUCAGGAAAUCUGCCAAACAACAGAAAAUAUUUUACACAGAUCCAUCCAAACACCAGAAAAUAUUAACUUUUCUAGAAAAGUAAGUCAUUUUUCAGAAACCAUUUUUAGUCAACCAAACAGACCCUAAGAUUCAAUCCUGAUUACUUUUUAAUAUAUAUAUUAACUGAGGUGCCCUUUGUUGACUUUUGACUACCCUUAUUUAAAUAAUGAAUUUGGAACAUGCUUUAUUAAUAUUUAAAUAAAUAUAAUUAUAUUUAUAAGAGAAUGUUUGUAUUCAUUCAUAUGUAAGGUGGCUUAUUCACAAAGGUAGAUAGACAAUGCCUUUUUGAAGGGAGUGGGUAGUUCAUUUACAAUAAUGAAUGACUUAUCCUCGAGAGGUCAAAACCCUUCCGAAAAGAUUGGAGGGUUGAAUGGGGCAUGCCCUCCAAGAUGUGGGUCGUUUGAUUAGUACCUCGGUAGUGGAAAGCAAAGAACUACCUUCUCAAGUGAUUUGCUAUACUAACUCCUGUUCAAAGAUAGAGGGAUAUAAUAAACUUAAUUUAAAAAAGAAAGUAUUUUGAAAGUGAAAGAGCUAAUCAAAAACUCAAAAUACUUCCUUUUCUUUUAAUUAUAUUUAAAAUGACUCCCUUUUUAGAAUUAAGUUUUAAUAAUAAAUUAUAUUAAUUAAUAAAUGCAAUAAAAUAAAUAUCAUUUUAAUUUACAUUUGUUUUUUAAACAAGCAAAUUUAUUAUUUCUUCUCAUUUUAGUUAAGAAUAAAAUAAGGGAUUAAUUUUUGGUAAAAAUAUAAUUUUUGUACCUUUAUUUCAUUUUUAAUAAUUAUAUUUCUACAUUUACAUUUGUUUUUUAAACAAGCUCGUUAUGUCCUCGAAUGAUUCAUAAGAAAAUUACAUGAGAAUACGUUAUAAAGAGCAUAUAAAGUGGUGUAGUGAAUAAUAUCAGGGGGAAAUUACCCUUCAUCUCAUCAACCAAUUCUACAACUUCUUCCACUUAACCUACCUUAUAGAGAGCAUCAGCCACUACGUUAAGAAAUAUCCCAAAUAUGUUCUUCCAUGCAUAUAAAGCCCUUUCAUAUAGCCAUAUCAACGUUCCCACAAUGUAUCAAACGAUAAAUUUACAUGAGAAUACGCGUGUAACAAUUGCUUGACUUUAAGUUCGAAACAAGAUAUUAAUAACUUUACCAAACAUUAAUGUAUGCCUACACAAUAAAGUGAAGGAUUAUUCUCCUGAGUUUUUAUACAUAGGAAGGAUUAGGUAAUCUUAAACAAGAACUGAUGCAAACUAAUUAUAACGGUGAUUUGGGGCUGAAAUACUUUCCUAUCACUCUUGAAUCUAAUAUCUUCAUGGCUUCCUCAGAUUUAAUGCAACUAGGUUUUUUGUAUUGGCUCAAUGAAGUUCCUUUGGACACAUAGUAAUCCAUUAGUGCCUCAAAACUUCCUUGCUUUACCACCCUAAUCUCCAAAGCUGCAAUUAUGUUCCUUUUCCUAUAGAUUUUAUAUGUAUAAUGCAAUGACUCUUCCAUUCUAGAGCAACACUCUACCAUUAUCUUUGGGUCAAGUUCUUUGCAAUGCGUGCCUUCUUUUCCCUUGAUCUCCCAAAAUAAUACAUAGUGACCUGGUGCAGAAGAAGUAUCAACGUAGCUAGUGUACUCUGUCAAGAUGAAUCCGAGUGGAUCGAGAAGAGCCUUUGCUUCUGUCACAGCCUUGAAAAGGUCUGUUUCGCUUGUUUUUUCCUGAUCAACACUUAGGAUAACAUUUUUCCUCUCCACAAAUUGGAAUUGAGGUGCAUUAUUGUAGAAACCACUCACCAUAAGAACAUCUCCAACUUUAUAUCGAUAUAAUCCUGAAAGGAAUAUCAUCAAACUAGAUUAGAUCAUUAUCUAAGAGGUUAAUGUAGGAACUAGGAAGCAUAAUGCAAACUAGAACAUGGCAUUUGAUUAAUUGAUUAUAUUCAAAACAGGAACUUUUACCUGCACAAGUUGUGACAACUAGUUCAUAACACUGACCAGCCUUCACAUUUACAAGAUCAACAAGUUCAGUAUCUUCAUUGUUGCUCUUCAUUUCAAUAGAUCCAUCACCUUCAUUCUUUACUGGAAGGAAUUCGAAGUAAGCCAUGUUAGGGAGAAAUGUGUAGGAGAUAUCACAAGGUUUGCAUAGAGGUUCUAAGUUCAUCCCACAAAUAGCUUCCGAGCAAGCAUAUAAAUCUGAAACUAAAGGGAGCCCUCUGCAAUAGAACUCGAGUUCUGUAGUAUACUGUCUCAUAAUGCCAGUACAAAUGCAGCAAAUAUACCUUGCUUUAGGCCAUAACUUUCUGAUUAUUCCUUCCCAUGAUUUACAAUUACAUAUAGUUUCUAUCAGGUCAGCCUGUUCUGGAUUAGGCUUCAUGACCAAUGAUGCUGCAUUUCUGCAUCCUGAGUCGGUGAUCCAAUCGCUUAAUCGACCUGUUUUUAUGUCAUAGCAUAGCUCUUGCCAGUGAUUUUCUAGAAACUUGAUACCUCUUAGCACCG
rnacentral:lncRNA from 1 species